UAUUUAGCAGUAAAUAAAGAUGCCUAACGGCUUAAUAGGGAAUCUGGUGUGAAUCCAGAGCUGUCCCCGCAACUGUAUAUGCUGACGAAAUAAGAGAACCACUGUGUGAAAAUCUUUUGCUAGAAUAAGAUUUUACAUGGGAAGGACUUAAAGUAGAAUGACGCAUAAGUCAGGAGACCUGUCUUUAUUUAGUAAGUUUC
rnacentral:ncRNA from 1 species